GACGAACGCUGGCGGCGUGCCUAAUACAUGCAAGUCGAGCGGGCCUCCGGAGGUGCUUGCACCUCCGGACGGCCAGCGGCGGACGGGUGAGUAACACGUGGGCAACCUGCCUUUGAGGCCGGGAUAACACCGGGAAACCGGUGCUAAUACCGGAUACGUCCUCUUUCGCGCCUGCGAGAGGGGAGAAAGACGGUCUUUAAGGCCGUCGCUCAAAGAGGGGCCCGCGGCGCAUUAGCUGGUUGGUGGGGCAAGGGCCUACCAAGGCGACGAUGCGUUGCCGACCUGAGAGGGUGAUCGGCCACACUGGGACUGAGACACGGCCCAGACUCCUGCGGGAGGCAGCAGUAGGGAAUCAUCCGCAAUGGGCGAAAGCCUGACGGUGCAACGCCGCGUGAGUGAGAAGGUUUUCGGAUCGUAAAGCUCUGUUGUGAGGGAAGAACAGCAUCCGGAGGAAAUGCCGGAGGUUUGCCGGUACCUCACCAGAAAGCCCCGGCUAACUACGUGCCAGCAGCCGCGGUAACAC
rnacentral:rRNA from 1 species